rnacentral:rRNA from 1 species
UACGUAGGUGGCAAGCGUUGUCCGGAUUUACUGGGCGUAAAGGAUGCGUAGGCGGACAUUUAAGUCAGAUGUGAAAUACCCGAGCCUAACUUGGGUGCUGCAUUUGAAACUGGGUGUCUAGAGUGCAGGAGAGGUAAGUGGAAUUCCUAGUGUAGCGGUGAAAUGCGUAGAGAUUAGGAAGAACACCAGUGGCGAAGGCGACUUACUGGACUGUAACUGACGCUGAGGCAUGAAAGCGUGGGGAGCAAACAGG